UUAAAACAACACAAAGAAAAGGAAUGAUCUCGUGGUUUAACACACAUUGAACAAAUAAAACAGUCAACUAUUUUCUCAAACCAGAAAAACGAAUAAAACCAGAAUUUAAAAGUGAAAGAGAGAAAGAAACAACAAUUGGAUGGUUUCAGUAUUCUUUGACCAAUCGAAAGGAUUGCUCAAGUUCCUUGCCGUUUUUAUAAACUAGACCAAACAUAAAUAUGUAAAGCUUUUGUACACGACUACAUGUAUAAAAUGAUUGAGUUAUGCAAGUCUGGAGAAAAAAGCCAGCCACCAAUUGCGGAAGUUCUCAAAAUUAUGUCCUCCCCAGGACCAAAAAUAAGAAAACGCUCCAUCAGCGGAAAACUCUUUGCAGAUGUUCUCCUGUCUAAAAGGAUGAGAAUUGGACAAGAAUAAGGUAGCAUACUAGCCUCUGUCUUAAAUGAACAACCCUUGUGUUGUUUAUGAUGAUAGUUUCUGUGUCAUGUAGCCUUAGGGCAGUUUACCUUUACUUUGCAGUUGAGGUGAGAUUGAAUGAUGACGAUGGUUGAAGUACCCUGCUAUGUAACUGAUAACUUCAAAGUGACAUAAGAUACAAUAACUUGUAUCACGGUGGGCAAUCAACAGGUGCCUAGGCGCUAGUCGGGGCCGUGGGGGUCCAACACCUGGACUAUAAUCCGCCUAGUCGGUCAACUAGUUGGCUUUGAGGUGUUAGCCGCCCGACUAAUCAGCCCCUAGGCACCCCUCCUCUGCCGGACCAACGCCUAGCGACUUUUAGAGCAUUGAUUGUCAAAUAAUCAACUACUAAUAGUUGGCAUCCACUAGUCUAUCAGAUGAUAGC